rnacentral:pre_miRNA from 7 species
UUCUAGUGGUCCUGAAAGACCCCCGAAGGGAGACCCUCACUCAAGCCUCGGGACAGCCGCGGACCCAAGAAGACACUGAGACCG